GGGAAGAGAAAAGAAAAUGAAACCAUCUGAAUUAUGAUUAAAAGCAGAGGAAAAAGAAAAAGAAUGGAAGACCUGAGCAGAGGAGAAUUACAAGGGACAUGGGAUUUUGUUGUCAGAACUUUUCAUCUCUCUAGUUGUUUUGAGAUACAACCUUCUGAACCUUCUUACUGCCUGUUGUCUUUACAUUCAGAACUUCUGAGAGUCAGCUAAAAGUAAUCUUCAAAAGGUUGGUCAGGCAGCAAGGAGAUAAUGAAGGAUGCUGAAGAGCCGGGAGUGAGGCAGCAGCUGGUUGAGAAGGAUGAUGAGGAGACUGAGCAGGAAGAACACCACCUGAUAGAGUGGUGCAGCCUAAGGUACAAUGCACCAGACAAGAUUUAAAUCAAACCCACUUCCAACGGAUGUGAGUUGAGUUAAGAGAUCAUUGACUGAAAUUUGUUGCUGCUCCAGCCCCAGUUUAG